rnacentral:rRNA from 1 species
CCCUUAGAUGUUCUGGGCAGCACGCGCGCUACACUGAUUCAUGCAACGAGUUUUGUCCUUGGCUGAAAGGCCUGGGUAAUCUUUGAACGUGAAUCGUGCUGGGGAUAGAUGAUUGCAAUUAUUCAUCUUCAACGAGGAAUUCCUAGUAAACGCAAGUCAUCAGCUUGCAUUGAUUACGUCCCUGCCCUUUGUACACACCGCCCGUCGCACCUACCGAUUGAAUGGUCCGGUGAAAUCUUCGGAUCUGAGAGAUGUUGGAUUAAUUUCUGACGCCUUUUGGAAAAGUUGCUUAAACCUUAUCAUUUAGAGGAAGGUGAAGUCGUAACA